rnacentral:lncRNA from 1 species
CCAUAUCCAAAGUCCCGUUUCUGUCGUGGUGUUCCUGAUCCCAAGAUCAGGAUUUACGAUGUUGGCAUGAAGAAGAAAGGUGUUGAUGAGUUUCCUUUCUGUGUUCAUCUGGUCAGUUGGGAGAAGGAAAAUGUGUCCAGUGAGGCACUUGAAGCUGCUAGGAUUGCCUGCAACAAAUACAUGUCAAAGUUUGCAGGAAAGGAUGCAUUCCACUUGAGAGUUAGGGUUCAUCCAUUCCAUGUUCUUAGGAUCAACAAGAUGCUUUCAUGUGC